AACAAAAACGGCCUGUUAGAUUCAACAGCUGGUACAACAUUGUACCUGCUAUGGUGCAAACCCCAUGCUCUUUGAAAGGGUUUUUGGGAAAUGAAGGAGAUGCUGCCACCCUCCUGCUCCUCCAGGAAACGGGCACGUUUAGGCAAGACCUUCCUGAGGGACACCAGGGACCUUGAGUCCCUCUGUCCUGGUGCCAAGAGCAAAAACACUGAUCUAGGAGGAGUCAUGAGCUGAAACUGUUACUGGUUUAGUCUCAGGUGAAAAAAUAAAAUGAUGGUAUCUUGAACUGUUUCAGGAGGCAGUUUCCUAGUUAGCCUUGCUUUCAUUUAACAAUUUGGUUACCUCAGCUGAGCGUUAACGCUGCCUUCCAGGCACAGAAGUACUGAUACCAGCGAGUCUGACAGAACUUUUAAAUUAAGACUGGAAAAUAUGUAAAGAAGAGAGGCUUUUGGGAUGAAAAAAAAGCGGUGCAUAGCUUCUGUUAUGCAGAAGGCUGACGUGAUUAUGCUGAUCUAGCAAUCAUCACUCAUCCAGAAGCAUCCAUAAAAACAGGAGCUGUACAGCACGGAUGGCCCCUCAGCAUUUAUCGGCAUUGCCACUGACAAAAAGACUGCCCGCCUUUGAUUUCAGGGUUACUGGUCACCUCGUUACACUGUCAGCUUUUCAGAGGCAGACUUCAGCAACUGGCAUCAUUCAAACUGUGACGUGCAGCCACGAGAAGGCUCGUCGUGGUCGGUUCCCUGCUCCUCCUUCCUGAACACUGAAAUUCCCUCUGAAGAUUAGGCAGCUUUCCUUGCUCAGAACUGUUUUCAUGCCAGAGAAAAACCUGUCAGAAUCGCUCACUCAUCACAUCUCUGCUUUCCAGCAAUGUUUCAUAACAGGAACACCUGCCCCAAUGUGACAGCCCUUGAUUGCACCUUAAAUGACUAGACUAUUGCCCUUUCAUCCCACCUAAGCCUCUCUGACAGCUGGAGAGGAGAGGAGUAGGGAUUGCUUAUUCUCCCAGUCGGCUGCACUGAGGUCUUUCACCUCGGUUCUCUCACCUCCCUUCCCUGCCCAGCCAUGCAGAUACAGUCUCUAGGGCCAUAAAUCCACUGGGUUUAGUUUUGUCCCUGUGGUUUGGAGAGGAUGGGGAAGGAAUUGAGAAGCAGCAGUCCCUCAUGCUUUAGGCAUUUGUACAAAAAUUCCCGUUUUUCAAAAGCCGUGCUCUGCAGGGAAUGCUGAGCUCCCUCACAAUUUCCUGCUCCCACUCAGCACCGGAUGGCAGCCGCAGAGACGCAGCCUGUGAUCCGCCCAACCUACCCCCUCUUCCCUCCGCAUUUUCUGUACUUCUAAGCAACAGCUAUGGCCUCAUCAGUAGGAUCCAAGGAGUCAUGCAGACACCUAAAGGCACAGCUUGAAAUUCUGGCAGUAACACUGAGCAAAACACAAAAAAGUCAGCCAUCGCCAUUCAACUCCCCCCCUAAAAAGACUGCUGGUUUUUGGCAGUGGCUCCCAGGAACAUCAGUUUUGUGAGGCUAUUCUCUGACCUCUGAAACACACACACACAUACCACCGUGCUCCUGUCCUUGGCUUCCAUCCGUGUCUAACACCAGCUCUACAAUCACCAUACCUUUGAUUACGAGACACUCAGGUAGAAUUGGAAGCUUUAUGGAGGCAUCUGAAAUUGCAGAGACUUUCAAGAUGGAUUGAAUGUAUCAUAUUUUGACUUGUGUGAGAUCGUGACACCAACCUUCACCUCCUUCAAACUAUACUUUAUAGCCUCUAUUUACUUUUUGAUAUCUUUGCUGGAGAAGAGUUAGCAUGGGUGAAAAGAAUCACUGCAAUUCUCUGUGGCAUAAUGAACCCUCACAGAGCAGGCCAGAGGUGCUCGGAGGGCAACUCAUCCUAUAACACAAAGUGAUUGUUUUCACUGCAUUUAAUAAUGACAGAUCACUCCUUGGCUCGGGGCUACGUUUCUGGGUCUGUUCCCACGUUGCAUGCAGCAUGUGACUUCAGGUGGGCAGGAAAGCUGUACAUCACUGCGAUGGCUUGGAACAUCUGUCUGUGUAAACUUAGCAGUUUUAUUUAAUCUUUACGAACUCUACUUCUGACUCACCCUUUGAAGGUAUAAAAGUUUGCACUUUUAUGCCAUAAAACUCACUUCUGUGAGAGUGCAGAAAGACAGCUCCUGAAUCACUGGGGAAGUGUUUGAUGUGUGAUCCGUCCUGUCCAUGCUUGGCCAGUAAAGCAUGUCCUGAUCGCACCCCAACAUAAUAAAACUGCUGCUGUGGCUAGUUCCUGCUGCAGUUUAUAUCAGUAUUCUUUUCACAGCAUUAACUUCUCUUUACCAAGUAAUUUCGUAGUAAUAUGCAAACAAGCCAGGUGACCAGACAAAAAGGGCAACACACUUGCAAAGCACUAAAAGAAUGAAUACACCUGCAGUGUGAACCUUGACUUCUUCAGAAAUAAAAUAGCAGCAAAGGAGUAAUUUUAGGCUUCUUUUGAAGUCAGUUUGAACAAAACUUCCUGGACAGUCCAGCUUACUCCAGACUGCACUGCCACAACUAUUGCUUAAAGGGUAAGCAAUACCCUUUACAUAUACAGGCAAAGCCCAUCACCAAAUCAACAGCAAUCCUUUCGUUUGAUUUUGCUCUGUCCCUCACCAAUGAGAGAAUAAAGUACAGAUGAUUUUGUAUUUUAUGCCCUGGUGCUGUACAACAGCACCAAAUGGAUAAAAAGACUUAAUUUCUCAUGACUUUAAACGGAAACCAGCAUUUCUAAGCAUUACUACUUUGCCCUGGGCUGAAGAGAAGGAGAAUCUAAGCUUUAUUAUUUGUAUUGUUCUUGUUGCCUGAGGGCCUCAGUUACAGUCACAAACUUGAUAGGGGUUGAGCACUGUACAGAUAUGUAUCAAAAAGAUGAUCAUUAUCUUUGAAGGACCUACAAUCAAAAUAUAAACGAACAGGGGAAUACAGACAAGAGGAGAACAAACAACAAACAUCCAGGUCUUACUUUAAGGAACGUACAUAAUUUACCUUUGUACAGCUGUGGGUUUUGUCCAGAUUUGUUU